rnacentral:rRNA from 1 species
GAUCAUGGCUCAGGAUGAACGCUAGCUACAGGCUUAACACAUGCAAGUCGAGGGGCGGCAUGGUCUUAGCUUGCUAAGGCCGAUGGCGACCGGCGCACGGGUGAGUAACACGUAUUCAACCUGCCGUCUACUCUUGGACAGCCUUCUGAAAGGAAGAUUAAUACAAGAUGGCAUCAUGAGUCCACAUGUUCACAUGAUUAAAGGUAUUCCGGUAGACGAUGGGG